AUUGAACGCUGGCGGCAGGCCUAACACAUGCAAGUCGAGCGAGCGGCGGACGGGUGAGUAAUGUCUGGGAAACUGCCUCAUGGAGGGGGAUAACUACUGGAAACGGUAGCUAAUACCGCAUACCAUCAGAUGUGCCCAGAGGGGAUUAGCUAGUAGGUGGGGUAAUGGCUCACCUCGGCGACGAUCCCUAGCUGGUCUGAGAGGAUGACCAGCAAAACGGGAACGGGGGCAAGUCCCAAACUCCUAGGGGAGGCAGCAGGGGGGAAUAUGGCACAAUGGGAGCAAGCCUGAUGCAGCAAGGCCGGGUGUGUGAAGAGGGCCUUCGGGUUGUAAAGCACUUUAAGCGGGGGGGCGUUACCCGCAGAAGAGGCACCGGCUAACUCCGUGCCAGCGGCCGCGGUAAUU
rnacentral:rRNA from 1 species